GCAUGGUUAGCUCAGUCGAUAAAGCAUAAGACUCUUAAUCUCAGGGCUGUGGGUUUGAGCCCGUUGGGGGGGAAAUAUUUAUGCA